GACGAACGCUGGCGGCGUGCUUAACACAUGCAAGUCGAACGGAAAGGCCCUGCUUUUGUGGGGUGCUCGAGUGGCGAACGGGUGAGUAACACGUGAGUAACCUGCCCUUGACUUUGGGAUAACUUCAGGAAACUGGGGCUAAUACCGGAUAGGAGCUCCUGCUGCAUGGUGGGGGUUGGAAAGUUUCGGCGGUUGGGGAUGGACUCGCGGCUUAUCAGCUUGUUGGUGGGGUAGUGGCUUACCAAGGCUUUGACGGGUAGCCGGCCUGAGAGGGUGACCGGCCACAUUGGGACUGAGAUACGGCCCAGACUCCUACGGGAGGCAGCAGUGGGGAAUAUUGCACAAUGGGCGGAAGCCUGAUACAGCAACGCCGCGUGCGGGAUGACGGCCUUCGGGUUGUAAACCGCUUUCGCCUGUGACGAAGCGUGAGUGACGGUAAUGGGUAAAGAAGCACCGGCUAACUACGUGCCAGCAGCCGCGGUGAUACGUAGGGUGCGAGCGUUGUCCGGAUUUAUUGGGCGUAAAGGGCUCGUAGGUGGUUGAUCGCGUCGGAAGUGUAAUCUUGGGGCUUAACCCUGAGCGUGCUUUCGAUACGGGUUGACUUGAGGAAGGUAGGGGAGAAUGGAAUUCCUGGUGGAGCGGUGGAAUGCGCAGAUAUCAGGAGGAACACCAGUGGCGAAGGCGGUUCUCUGGGCCUUUCAUGACGCUGAGGAGCGAAAGCGUGGGGAGCGAACAGGCUUAGAUACCCUGUAGUCCACGCUGUAAACGGUGGGUACUAGGUGUGGGGUCCAUUCCACGGGUUCCGUGCCGUAGCUAACGCUUUAAGUACCCCGCCUGGGGAGUACGGCCGCAAGGCUAAAACUCAAAGGAAUUGACGGGGCCCCGCACAAGCGGCGGAGCAUGCGGAUUAAUUCGAUGCAACGCGUAGAACCUUACCUGGGUUUGACAUGGAUCGGGAGUGCUCAGAGAUGGGUGUGCCUCUUUUGGGGUCGGUUCACAGGUGGUGCAUGGCUGUCGUCAGCUCGUGUCGUGAGAUGUUGGGUUAAGUCCCGCAACGAGCGCAACCCUUGUUCACUGUUGCCAGCACGUUAUGGUGGGGACUCAGUGGAGACCGCCGGGGUCAACUCGGAGGAAGGUGGGGAUGACGUCAAGUCAUCAUGCCCCUUAUGUCCAGGGCUUCACGCAUGCUACAAUGGCUGGUACAGAGAGUGGCGAGCCUGUGAGGGUGAGCGAAUCUCGGAAAGCCGGUCUCAGUUCGGAUUGGGGUCUGCAACUCGACCUCAUGAAGUCGGAGUCGCUAGUAAUCGCAGAUCAGCAACGCUGCGGUGAAUACGUUCCCGGG
rnacentral:rRNA from 1 species